AACGAACGCUGGCGGCAUGCCUAACACAUGCAAGUCGAACGAUUGCCUUCGGGUGAUAGUGGCGCACGGGUGCGUAACGCGGGGGAAUCUGCCCUUAGGUUCGGAAUAACAGCUGGAAACGGCUGCUAAUACCGGAUGAUAUCGCGAGAUCAAAGAUUUAUCGCCUGAGGAUGAGCCCGCGUUGGAUUAGGUAGGUGGUGGGGUAAAGGCCUACCAAGCCGACGAUCCAUAGCUGGUCUGAGAGGAUGAUCAGCCACACUGGGACUGAGACACGGCCCAGACUCCUACGGGAGGCAGCAGUGGGGAAUAUUGGACAAUGGGCGCAAGCCUGAUCCAGCAAUGCCGCGUGAGUGAUGAAGGCCCUAGGGUUGUAAAGCUCUUUUACCCGGGAAGAUAAUGACUGUACCGGGAGAAUAAGCCCCGGCUAACUCCGUG
rnacentral:rRNA from 1 species